rnacentral:tRNA from 1 species
GGGUCGUUAGCUCAGCUGGUAGAGCAGCGGACUUUUAAUCCGUUGGUCGCGUGUUCGAGUCACGCACGGCCUACCA